rnacentral:rRNA from 1 species
GGACCUGACUGCUAUCGGAUUGAUACUAAGCCAUGCGAGUCGUUGUAGCAAUACAAGGCAUACGGCUCAGUAACGCGUAGUCAACCUAACCUAUGGACGGGAAUAACUUCGGGAAACUGAGAAUAAUGCCCGAUAGAACAUUAUGCCUGGAAUGGUUUAUGUUCCAAAUGAUUUAUCGGCCGUAGAUGGGACUGCGGCCUAUCAGUUUGUUGGUGAGGUAAUGGCCCACCAAGACUAUUACAGGUACGGGCUCUGAGAGGAGUAGCCCGGAGAUGGGUACUGAGACACGGACCCAGGCCCUAUGGGGCGCAGCAGGCGAGAAAACUUUGCAAUGUGCGAAAGUACGACAAGGUUAAUCCGAGUGGUUUCUGCUAAGAAACCUUUUGUCAGUCCUAGAAACACUGAUGAAUAAGGGGUGGGCAAGUCUGGUGUCAGCCGCCNGGGUAAAACCAGCCACCUCAGUGGUCAGGAUGAUUAUUGGGCCUAAAGCAUCCGUAGCCGGCUCUGUAAGUUUUCGGUUAAAUCUGUACGCUCAACGUACAGGCUGCCGGGAAUACUGCAGAGCUAGGGAGUGGGAGAGGUAGACGGUACUCGGUAGGAAGGGGUAAAAUCCUUUGAUCUAUUGAUGACCACCUGUGGCGAAGGCGGUCUACCAGAACACGUCGACGGUGAGGGAUGAAAGCUGGGGGAGCAAACCGGAUUAGAUACCCGGGUAGUCCCAGCUGUAAACUAUGCAAACUCAGUGAUGCAUUGGCUUGUGGCCAAUGCAGUGCUGCAGGGAAGCCGUUAAGUUUGCCACCUGGGAAGUACGUACGCAAGUAUGAAACUUAAAGGAAUUGGCGGGGGAGCACCACAAGGGGUGAAGCUGCGGUUCAAUUGGAGUCAACGCCAGAAAUCUUACCCGGAGAGACAGCAGAAUGAAGGUCAAGGUGAAGACUUUACCAGACAAGCUGAGAGGUGGUGCAUGGCCGUGGGGGACCGCCGCAGUUAAUGCGGAGGAAGGAAGGGGCCACGGCAGGUCAGUAUGCCCCGAAACUCUGGGGCCACACGCGGGCUGCAAUGGUAACGACAAUUGGUUUCGAAUCCGAAAGGAUGAGGUAAUCCUCAAACGUUACCACAGUUAUGACUGAGGGCUGCAACUCGCCCUCACGAAUAUGGAAUCCCUAGUAACUGCGUGUCAUUAUCGCGCGGUGAAUACGUCCCUGCUCCUUGCACACACCGCCCGUCGUUUCAUUGAAGUGAGCUUUUAGCGAGG